AUCAGUGUUUGGUAAAGGAAUGUUGAAACUAAAUGAACAGAGAGUAACAGUUGUUGACACCCUCUCAAAAGAUGAUGCAUCAAAACCUAAAAACACGAGCAGAUCAUGCCUCCUAAUACUAAACAGUCAUUGUUGCAAAAUGAGUGCAACUUCCAGCAUUCAACUUCGCUUUCCAUCUAUCCCAUCUCUAACCGCCAAAACCUCUACCAAACACUGAUCUACCCAAGUUCCUGUACAGUUAAUUACAGUUCCACAAAUAUUAUGAAUCUAUGAGUACACAUGGCAUGUUGCUCUAUUAUGGCCUGCUCCUUUGCACUUGCUGCAAUGCAAUGGUCUUUUAAUCACCCCUUUUGCUCGAAUUCUCCUCUGCUUCGGUGGGCCAGUUAGAAGACGAAGAGGAGGGGGAAGUACUUGGGGUGGGGAGGAUUCUUUAUGCACAGGCUUAUCUGUUGUUGGAACCGGAUUUAUAGGCUCUGAAUAGGUUAACUGAAAAAAUUCAGUUGUAUAAUACCUGGAGCAGUAAUCAUACAAGUUCCUAUCAAAAUGUUGAAGGACGACCACAGCAUGAAAACAUGGGAAACCAUUAAGUUGCCAUGCCCUGCAACUACAGCUCCAAGCAUCAAUGUUAACAAUGUUGGUUUCCCCUAGACAAUCAUGAACUUCAAAAGUAUUCCUAGGAGAUAAUGAAACUUGAAGUGACUGUGCCUUGAGAAUCUCUUUUUGCAAUUUUUCUUCCAGGGAUGGAGUCAAUUUUGUCAACCACCUCGCUUUUUGAAGGUUCACGGUUAAAUCAGCUCCAUCAUCUUUUGGCGAAUAGUAUCAAUAAUCUGUACUACUGGUAACAUUGGGAGAUCAUUUACCCAACUAUAAAAUGAUUGACCAAUGUUUGAUGUGAAAUGAUUGUACCGUGAACCUUCAAAAAGCGAGUUUGCCCAGUGCUCAGGUUCACUUUGCAAAAUCCAUUCAAAAGCUUCAGGUGAGAUGCUUUUAAUGCUCUCAACGUACUUUCUAAAUCCAUCAGGUGUAGCUGCAUGGGCAGCAUCAUAAAGAUGAGCAACAAUGGCACUUACAACUUCUUCAGUGUAUGGGCCCUUAAGGUCCUCCUUUAACUCCUCUGAUAGAUGACGAAGGCAAAAACUAUGAUGAGAAUCCUCAAAUGCCAUCAAAACGGACUGUCUUAAACCCAUCUGUCUGCCUCCCACAAAAGUUAUUGGUUGGUAAGUUGAAAGCACAGAUUUCAAUUGUACCAAAAACCAAUGCCAAUUAUCAUCAUUUACAAUAUCUACUAUAGCAAAAGCCACAGGGAAAAUGCCAUCAUUUCCAUCCAAUGCUGUUGCAGUCAGCAGUUCUGACUGAUAUUUUGAUUUCAGUGUCAUAGUAUCAAGGAAAAUUAGAGGGCGACAACCAUUCUGAAAACCACAUAUUGAGGCAUGGAAGGCAACAAACAAACGAUGGAAACUUUGGUCCUCUCUUGUGAUAAGAGUGACAAGCCAGGAUUUGUCUCUACCAUCUUCUCACAUAACCAAGGCAGCUGAUUGUAUGCCUCUUUGUAUGAACCCUGAAGCUCUUCCUUCGCAAUCUCCAUCCCUCGCC
rnacentral:misc_RNA from 1 species